rnacentral:tRNA from 2 species
GGGGACAUAGCUCAGUUGGGAGAGCGCUUGAAUGGCAUUCAAGAGGUCGUCGGUUCGAUCCCGAUUGUCUCCACCA